rnacentral:misc_RNA from 1 species
GAUGAAGAACGUAGCAAAAUGCGAUAAGUAAUGUGAAUUGCAGAAUUCAGUGAAUCAUCGAAUCUUUGAACGCACAUUGCGCCCGCCAGUAUUCUGGCGGGCAUGCCUGUCUGAGCGUCAUUUCAACCCUCAUGCCCCUAGGGCGUGGUGUUGGGGAUCGGCCAAAGCCCGCGAGGGACGGCCGGCCCCUAAAUCUAGUGGCGGACCCGUCGUGGCCUCCUCUGCGAAGUAGUGAUAUUCCGCAUCGGAGAGCGAUGAGCCCCUGCCGUUAAACCCCCAACUUUCCAAGGUUGACCUCAGAUCAGGUAGGAAUACCCGCUGAACUUAAGCAUAUCAAUAAGCGGAGGA